rnacentral:rRNA from 1 species
AGUGAACGCUGGCGGCGUGCUUAACACAUGCAAGUCGAACGAGAACGGAUUAUAGCUUGCUAUAAUUGUCAGCUAAGUGGCGCACGGGUGAGUAAUAUAUAGAUAACCUGCCCUCUAGAAAGGAAUAACAGUUGGAAACGACUGCUAAUGCCCUAUAUGCCUUUAAUACAUAAGUAUGCAAGGGAAACGCUUUAGUGCUAGAGGAUGGGUCUGUAUGGUAUCAGCUUGUUGGUGAGGUAAUGGCUCACCAAGGCUAUGACGCCUAACUGGUUUGAGAGGACGAUCAGUCACACUGGAACUGAGACACGGUCCAGACUCCUACGGGAGGCAGCAGGGGGGAAUAUUGCACAAUGGACGAAAGUCUGAUGCAGCAACGCCGCGUGGAGGAUGACACAUUUCGGUGCGUAAACUCCUUUUAUAUAGGAAGAUAAUGACGGUACUAUAUGAAUAAGCACCGGCUAACUCCGUGCCAGCAGCCGCGGUAAUAC